AUGGUUAGGAGUGUACCGAUUGGUGAGAGGCUCUUCAUAGGAGGAGACCUCAAUGGCCACGUGGGUACAUCUAACACGGGUUUUGAAGGGGCGCAUGGGGGCUUUGGCUAUGGCAUCAGGAAUCAAGAAGGAGAUGUCUUAAGCCUUGCUCUAGCCUACAACAUGAUUGUAGCUAACACCCUCUUUAGAAAGAGAGAAUCACAUCUGGUGACUUUUAGUAGUGGCCAACACUCUAGCCAGAUUGAUUUCAUCCUCUCGAGAAGAGAAGAUAGGCGUGCGUGCCUAGACUGUAAGGUAAUACCUGGAGAGAGUGUUGUACCCCAGCAUAAGCUGGUGGUUGCUGACUUCCGCUUUCGGAUGCGUGUCCAGCGGGAUAAGCGCGCCAAAGUCGCUAGAACGAAGUGGUGGAAGCUCAAGGGGGAGGCAGCUCAGGCGUUCAAGGAGAGGGUCAUUAAGGAGGGCCCUUGGGAGGAAGGAGGGGAUGCAGACAAUGUGUGGAUGGAGAUGGCGACUUGCAUUCGUAAGGUGGCCUUGGAGGAGUUUGGAGUGUCCAGGGGAAGGAGAAGCGAAGAUAAGGAUACCUGGUGGUGGAAUGAUGAUGUCCAAAAGGCGAUUAAGAGAAGAAAGAUUGCUUCAGAUGCCUAUACCUGGUUAGGAGUGCAGACAACAUAG
rnacentral:rRNA from 1 species